UAAUUGGAUGUGUGCUUUACUUUCAGUUACAAUCUGUGAACGGGGAAAAAAUAACACAUUUUGAUGAAAAUAGGCACUUCUGUAGGAGCCAAUUAUGCAAAUUAGGUCACCCUGUACAAAAAACCACCCAAUAGAUUUUUUUUUAAAUACAAGCAUUUUGAAGGUCUUUACCUAAGCAUUGUUUCAGCAUAAUAUGAACAUACAUUUCUUACCUCGUUUAUUGUCUAUAACUUAUACUGAUAAUUGAAGUAAAGUGG
rnacentral:lncRNA from 1 species